GUGCCAGCAGCCGCGGUAAUACGGAGGGUGCAAGCGUUAUCCGGAUUUAUUGGGUUUAAAGGGUGCGUAGGCGGCCUGUUAAGUCAGUGGUGAAAGUCGGCAGCUCAACUGUCGAAUUGCCUUUGAUACUGGCAGGCUUGAAUGAAGUUGAAGAGGGCGGAAUGUGACAUGUAGCGGUGAAAUGCAUAGAUAUGUCACAGAACACCGAUUGCGAAGGCAGCUCUCUAAGCUUGUAUUGACGCUGAUGCACGAAAGCGUGGGGAUCAAACAGGAUUAGAUACCCUGGUAGUCC
rnacentral:rRNA from 1 species